UACGAAGGGGGGCUAGCGUUGUCCGGAAUUAUUGGGCGUAAAGAGCUCGUAGGCGGUCUGUCGCGUCGGCUGUGAAAUCCCGAGGCUCAACCUCGGGUCUGCAGUCGAUACGGGCAAACUUGAGUGUUGCAGGGGAGACUGGAAUUCCUGGUGUAGCGGUGAAAUGCGCAGAUAUCAGGAGGAACACCGGUGGCGAAGGCGGAUCUCUGGGCCGUAACUGACGCUGAGGAGCGAAAGCAUGGGGAGCGAACAGG
rnacentral:rRNA from 1 species